rnacentral:lncRNA from 1 species
CGCCAACAACGUGGUCUACAAGCAGUACGAGGACAUGGUGGUAGAGGCCUGCGGCUGCAGGUAGCAUGAGGUCUGGGGAGGGUUUUGCUGCCCAGGACCCUAGCCGAAGAGCGUGAGUCACCAGGCCCGAGGGAAGGCGGACAAUGUUCUCUGCCAGCAGAGGAGAGCACACAGUUAACACUCACAUUUACACACUCCUUCACUCGCGCACAUGUUUACUGUGGAUGCCAGGCGCUGAAAGCCUUGGACAGAGAUAGUAUGCAGCGACUUGAUGUCAUAGCCGUGUUCGUUUGCUGACGUUGAUACAAACCUCUGUCCCUUUGGGGAGAGGGAAGGGUGUCUGUGUUUAUGUU